AUUAAUUAGGAAGUAAAAUUGUAAUCAUUCAGAGGAAUAAGUAUUAUGACAUAUAUCUCUCAUUUGAAAAUACACCAAAUCAAAUUACAUGGUGACCACAUUUUCUAAACCUUUCCAGGUGUCUGUUUCACCCUUAUUCAUCAUUAAUCCAUUUAUUGGUAGGGACAGCCACACAUUAUCAGAUUGAGAAGAAAAACCUCUACACUUCUCUUUCCAAAGCUAAAAAUUCUUGCA